CCCCAAGCAUCACCAUCCACCACCUCUACAACCAGGAGACCUUCUCCCGGCCACCAUUCACCACCGCAUCAUCACUCUAUCCAGCACCGUCACACCACACCAAAACCACCACUCGAGCCACCCACGUCUGAACCCCCAUAUUUGAACCACUAUCACCACAUAUCUGAAAUCGCAUUCAAAACAGAUCUGAAAUCGCGUUCAGAUCUACAAUCACCUACCUCCACCCCUCAACAACCGCCUCCACUGUCUCCAACCACCACCUCCACCGUCUCCAAGCAUAGCCUUCACACAUCAUGCCCGACACCCAGCGCCUGAACCCAUCACAGAUUGGCCAGAAAUGGCUACCUACAGUUGUGGUGGUGGUGGUUGGUUAUAGAAGAUGGUGCUGAGUUAAGGAAAGAGGGAUCAAUGAUUUUUGGGGGUCUGUUAAACAAUUUUUGCCUACCUCCAUGCCUGCAGCCCAACACCACCGUAUGUCACCACUUGCAAUUACACUAAAUCAUACCUAGAUAUCUAAAAUUAAAGAAUAAACAGAUCUGUAGAAGUUAUAUGGAGAGAAGUUAUAGAACUGUUCGUCGGAGGUGGUGGGUGUAGCUGAACUGUUCGCCGGAGGUAGGGUGGUUGUUAAUACUUCCGCUACUGCAGGGUACUUCCGUUGUUACAGAUCGUUGUUGAUUUUGUUUGUAAUGGUUUGUUCCUUGAGGAUCUGUGGAUAUGUCUGCUGCCAACUACAACUCGUCGCUGCCACCUCACCCCGACUUCCGAUUUUAAAAGGUUAUCGCUAGUGAUGAUGUUGUGGUGUUGUAGGUUCGAAGGUGACCGGAACUGGUGGUGGACGGUGGUACUAUGUCGGGUUAAGAAGAUGAAGAAGAAUGGGAUGUAACGGUAUAUACGUCAUUUCACACCCACCUAACUGGA